GUUCUUUCGCAGCGGCAAUUUCAUAGUCUAUGAAGUUGUACUGAGACGUGAUUAUUGCUGGUUGAAAACUUAACCCAAUACCC
rnacentral:snRNA from 1 species